CCUACGGGAGGCAGCAGUGAGGAAUAUUGGUCAAUGGCCGAGAGGCUGAACCAGCCAAGUCGCGUGAGGGAAGACGGCCCUACGGGUUGUAAACUUCUUUUGUCGGGGAGCAAAGCGAGUCACGUGUGACUCAUUGAGAGUACCCGAAGAAAAAGCAUCGGCUAACUCCGUGCCAGCAGCCGCGGUAAUACUGAGGAUGCGAGCGUUAUCCGGAUUUAUUGGGUUUAAAGGGUGCGCAGGCGGAGGUGCAAGUCAGCGGUCAAAUUGCGGGGCUCAACCCCGUACUGCCGUUGAAACUGCAGCCCUUGAGUGCGCGAGAAGUAUGCGGAAUUCGUGGUGUAGCGGUGAAAUGCGUAGAUAUCACGCAGAACUCCGGUGGCGAAGGCAGCAUACCGGCGCGCAACUGACGCUCAUGCACGAAAGCGUGGGUAUCGAACAGGAUUAGAUACCCUUGUAGUC
rnacentral:rRNA from 1 species